GCGGUCUCCAAAACCGUUGGUUGGGGGUUCGAGCCCCUCCGCCCCUGCCA
rnacentral:tRNA from 1 species